GUAGUAGGUGGCGUAUUGAGGGUACAUCUGCUGUUUCCACACUUUGCCCAUGAAGCUGGAAGGGAGCCUGCCGUGCAGGGUCGCGGACACUUUGGGGUUUCCAAGUCUCGAUCUCUCCUGCCUCUCCCUUUCCGGAGGCGGCGGCGGCUGCCUCCGCGGCUGCUGCUGCCGCUGCUCCACCUCCCAGCCGGGACCAGACGUCCUCCUCCUCCUCCUCCUCACAGGCAGAGAGAAAGACACUGCAGAACGCAGAGGGCACCCCGGACAGGGCGCUCCCAAGGAGUUUCCUCCCGGAGCCCGACUGCGCCGGGGCUGCCAAGGGCUGGCGCGCUGGCCGCGCUCCGCUCGGGCGAGCAGGCUGAGCAGAGCUGGGAGGUGAUCAAUACAAGUGGAAAGUGCUGCGGCGACGGCGGCGGCUGCGCUCGGUGCCAGGCGGCAUCUGGGUGAAGUGUGAUGUUAAGACAUUUGCCCAGAAUGAAGAAAAUGGAGGACAGAGGUGAGGAGUAAAGAAGGUAAAAAAUGUGAGGAACAGCAGUUGCUGAGACUCAAAUUGUGACUUGACAAGAAAGAUACUGCAAGAUGGCCCCAAAUCAAGAGGCUCCAGGAGUUAAAUACACCAAGAAGACCAAAAACUGAUUCCAAGAAUGCAUGGAAUGGUUUCCAUGGAACAUAAUGGCACAAUUGUCGUAUGGAGCAAAAUUCAAAAGAACUAGAGAACCGGAAAAGGGUGUGGUGUCUGUAAAAAUGAAGAACUUUAUUCAUGGAUUCAAAUUUAUGCUUAAAAGGAAUUGGAUGCAAUACAUCAUUCUCAGUUUUCAGGCAAAAGUUAGAAACUAGUUAAAGAGUGAUGGAACUUUCAGAAUGAUCUGGCAAAUUCUACCGAAAUUUUCUUUUUCUUCACCUCAAGUAUUCUUAUCACCAGUUCUUUCAUCUGUAGAGGAAACAUCUUAUCUCUUUUUUUAUUUUUUAUAUUUUUGAUCAAUGCUUUUGAAAAAUUUUCUUCCAAUCUACUUUUCAGGACUUUACCUUGUCAAUCCUUAUGUUGCCUUGUAAACCUGUCCUUUCCCUCACAAAUUUGGAAAGUCUUUUUGGCAGGGUCCAUUUUCAUGAAUAAUGUAAUAUUGCUAAUAAGACAAUUAGGAACAAAUUCUUGUCCAAAUGAUAGUCCAAAACAUGUGCUUUGUCUUCCCAUCAGAUUGGUUACAUUUUCAUUGUGUUCUACAAUCAAAUUAAACCUUCUGUUGCUUUUUAUAGAGCUUGUUGAACACUGAAAAGCACAAGUAGCUUUAAGAUGGCCAUAGGUAUAUAAAUGCUGGUCACUGAGAGGCUUCUGAAAGGUACAAUUUCAUGGCCUCAAUGCAUUCCAAGUCUGUUUCUUGCAUUAAGUUCAAAUGAAGAUGGCUUUCCUUUUUUUUGUUUACUUCCUGUAUGGUGGAUUGAACCUUUACCACUGGGCUGUGUCCUGUGUCCCCAGUCCUUUUUUUUUUUAUUUUGAGACAGGAUCUUGCUAAGUUUCCCAGGCUGACCUUGAAUUUGUGAUCAUCAUGCUUCAGUCUCCUGAAUUCCUUGGAUUACAGGUGGCACAGAUUUGGAAAAUAACUUUCUUUUCUUUCUUUCCUUCCUUCUUUCUUUCUUUCUUUCUUUCUUUCUUUCUUUUUUUCUUUCUUUCUUUCUUUCCUUCCUUCCUUCCUUCCUUCCUUCCUUCCUUCCUUCCUUUCUCUCACUCUAUCUUUCUUUCUUUCAAAUUAAAAAAAAAAUUCUUUAUCUGGCAGGACUUAUAGAUUUGGCAUAAUAGAAUCAACCCCACUCACCUUCCCAUUCCCAAGUCGUCUUAUCCACUGUUCGAUAAGAUGACCCAGUCUCUCAUUUUAAUAAAACCCAAGCUUCUGGAACAAAACUCUAUUUAAUACGUUGUAAAAGUUCUUAGCUGUGUUUGAGCAUGGAUUUGAGGUGACAGCCAUGUAGGCUGGGGCUAUCAUUUAUGACAUGAUGUGAAAAAUAGACCUGGAGAUCCAAAGCAAGACUAAGGCUGGAGAAAACUUUGGAAAUCAAGAUAAACCCUCACAAGAAAUAUGUAUAUACAAGAUCUUUGA